rnacentral:rRNA from 1 species
UACGGGGGGGGCAAGCGUUGUUCGGAAUUACUGGGCGUAAAGGGCUCGUAGGUGGCCAACUAAGUCGGACGUGAAAUCCCUCAGCUUAACUGGGGAACUGCGUCCGAUACUGGAUGGCUCGAGUGUGGGAGAGGGAUGCGGAAUUCCAGGUGUAGCGGUGAAAUGCGUAGAUAUCUGGAGGAACACCGGUGGCGAAGGCGGCAUCCUGGACCAACACUGACACUGAGGAGCGAAAGCCAGGGGAGCAAACGGG